AUGAGAAUCACCUGGGGGAUUUUGUUAAAAUUCAGGCUCCAGCUUAGGACAAGAAAUGGAUCUCCAGAUUUUGCAGUUCCUACAACCUCCCAGGUGAUGUUAAU
rnacentral:pre_miRNA from 1 species